rnacentral:rRNA from 1 species
AACACGUACACAACCUUCCUAUAAGUGGGGAAUAGCCCAGAGAAAUUUGGAUUAAUACCCCGUAACAUAAUGAUGUGGCAUCACAUUAUUAUUAUAGCUUCGGCGCUUAUUGAUGGGUGUGCGGCUGAUUAGAUAGUUGGCGGGGUAACGGCCCACCAAGUCUACGAUCAGUAGCUGAUGUGAGAGCAUGAUCAGCCACACGGGCACUGAGACACGGGCCCGACUCCUACGGGAGGCAGCAGUAAGGAAUAUUGGUCAAUGGACGCAAGUCUGAACCAGCCAUGCCGCGUGAAGGAUUAAGGUCCUCUGGAUUGUAAACUUCUUUUAUCUGGGACGAAAAAAGGCUAUUCUUAGUCACUUGACGGUACCAGAUGAAUAAGCACCGGCUAACUCCGUGCCAGCAGCCGCGGUAAUACGGAGGGUGCAAGCGUUAUCCGGAUUCCCUGGGUUUAAAGGGCGCGUAGGCGGGCAGGUAAGUCAGUGGUGAAAUCCUGGAGCUUAACUCCAGAACUGCCAUUGAUACUAUCUGUCUUGAAUAUUGUGGAGGUAAGCGGAAUAUGUCAUGUAGCGGUGAAAUGCUUAGAUAUGACAUAG